UUGGAGGGCAAGUCUGGUGCCAGCAGCCGCGGUAAUUCCAGCUCCAAUAGCGUAUAUUAAAGUUGUUGCAGUUAAAAAGCUCGUAGUUGAACCUUGGGUCUGGCUGGCCGGUCCGCCUCACCGCGAGUACUGGUCCGGCUGAACCUUUCCUUCUGGGGAACCUCAUGGCCUUCACUGGCUGUGGGGGGAACCAGGACUUUUACUGUGAAAAAAUUAGAGUGUUCAAAGCAGGCCUUUGCUCGAAUACAUUAGCAUGGAAUAAUAGAAUAGGACGUGUGGUUCUAUUUUGUUGGUUUCUAGGACCGCCGUAAUGAUUAAUAGGGAUAGUCGGGGGCGUCAGUAUUCAGCUGUCAGAGGUGAAAUUCUUGGAUUUGCUGAAGACUAACUACUGCGAAAGCAUUCGCCAAGGAUGUUUUCAUUAAUCAGGGAACGAAAGUUAGGGGAUCGAAGACGAUCAGAUACCGUCGUAGUCUUAACCAUAAACUAUGCCGACUAGUGAUCGGACGGGAUUCUAUAAUGACCCGUUCGGCGCCUUACGGGAAAC
rnacentral:rRNA from 1 species